ACACACAGACACAAUUCAUCUUCUUGCCAGGAUUGACAGGUGCUGUUUUGAUAAGCACGGGAACCAUCAGUUCAAGGUAUCAGUCUUUAGACCAAGUAGAGUUUAGAUGAGCAGAAUCUUUUAAUUUGUUGAGAAUUGUGAGAAUGACAGUUGCACACAGUUCCUUUUUAUUUUAUUUUUUUUUUUUAUUCUUUCCCUCUUCAUUUGUACCAUUUCUGUAUCUAAAACAAUAAAAGAGUUAGAUGUGUCUCUAGUACGGGGCUUUGGCUGUAGAAACUACACAGGGCAUUUGGUCCCACUUUGAGCAGUUGUCCUUUUAGACUCACAUGAAUUAAGGAAAUCCAAAAAUACAAAACAAGCUCCAGCUGAAUUUAAAUUCCAGGUUUCUGAGUCUAGGAACUUCAGGGACCUAAGAGGAUACCUAAAGAUUCAGAUGUAUUCUAUGGACAUCAGCUGUAAAAAAGUGCCUUCUUUUUAAUACUUAACAAUUUUUUAAUUCUUCAUUUAAUAUUUGGCUACAGUCGCCACUGAAAUAAUGUUACAUAUUUGGAGACUCCAUUGAGCUCUGGAAUAUUUGCUAGGUUAUUUUCUUUCUUGUUUACUUCAUAAAACCAUUCCUUCGUCUGUUCAGAAGUUUCUUUUGGAACUGCAGGUGUGUGUUGAAAGCCAGAUGUAAAUUAAAUUACAACAUAUGCAGAAGGGAUCCCUUACAGAUGGAAAAUGCAUAUUUUCAGCUGACCUACUCCUCAGGUAACAAUGGGUGGGAGUAAAAUAUUUAUUGUAGACUAUGUAAUUACCAUUUUAUUAUUAUUUUUUAAAGCUUCAAAAUUGUAAUCAAACAGCAUUCAUGGGAUUGAGUUGCAGAAAAAGAGGAAUUGGAGGGAAAUUUUCAAUCAGAAGCAAGUUCAUUGAGAAAUAGGUUUAGGAACUUUCACCCAAGACGGCAGGUGUCAGUCAAGAAUAUAAUUCAGGGAAUCAAACUAUAAUCUGGAAAAUGGAGAGUCCACAUAAAAUUUUAUUCUACAAUCUGAGAAGAUUUAUUUUAUUUUAAUGACCAUCACUGGAUAGCUGUUUGGCCAGUUGUGCUGAGUAUACUGCAUAGAGUUUCCUGUGCUCCACAGAGGUCACUGGGAGGAUGUGACUGCUGGUUGACCCAUGAGCUGGAACCAGGCACUUGGAGGCUCCUCACCCCCACCUCUGUUCUUGGAAUGAAUAUCCUGCCCACAUUACUCACAGCCAAAGUCUUUUUCAAGAAUGUGGCCUGGAGAGAGCAACGCAUUGUUGAGAACCUCUGAAUAGUAGAUAUGGCUGAAGCUCAUGAAGGCCUCUAUAUAAACUUUUAAGAUUCUGGUGGGCCAUGCAGAGAUCUGUUCAUCUCGUGGCUGCCCAAGACAAGCCUCAGAAUACCUUGACUUCUGAGACUCUGGUUGGAAGCUUUACGUUAUUGCCUUCUGCUCAGGGAUCUACCUUCACUGAAAAUCGGUAAAUGCCGCCAGGAAAAAGCAGUAAAGAAUGUCAGGAUGUUGACCUUCUCCUAGGGAUCUGGGAGUAAUACAACUAAACUUGUUAUAGCUGGAAAUAAUAGCACCUCCCUCCUGAGUAUUUCGUUAUUUCUCUGAAUUAACACGUACCUUUUUUUUUUUUUUUUUUAAACUGCGUUCUUUUGUUAGUCUAUGAACUUCUGGAAAACGGGUGACUCCCUUUCACUUUAAAUGGCUUGAUUGAGACAAAAUUCACUGUCUGUAAAAGUACCCAUUGUAAGUGUACAGUGAUUUUUACUAAAUUUGUAAACCUGAUAACCACACCACAAUCAAGUUUUAGCAUAGUUCUAUCACCCCCAAAAGUCCCCUCAUGACUAUUUACAGUUAAUACUUGCUGCCAUCCUGGCCCUGGGCAGCCAUUGAUGUGCCUACUAUCCCUACAGAUUUACCUUUUGUAGAUUUUUAACGUAAAGGGAAUCAUGCUAUGUGUGGCCUUCUGCGCCUGGCUUCUGUGCCUUAGUAUAUAAUGUUUUUUGAAGUUCAUUUAUGUAGUAACAGAUAGUUGUUUUUAUCUUUUUUUUCUGAGUAAUAUUCCAUUGCAUAAAUAUGCAACAUUUUGUUUAUCGACUUACCUGUUCAUUAGGAUUGCUUUUAGUUUUUGGCUAUUAUGAAUAAUGCUUCUGUUGACAUUCAUAUAUAUGUCUUUGUGUGAACAUGUUUUCCAUUCAUGUUGGGUAAAUUUCUAGCAAGGAAUUGCUGAGUUAUAUGAAAGGUGAUGGUUAGCUUAAAAAAAAAAUCACCAAAUUGUUUCACAAAGUAGUGGCACAGUUUUACAUUUCAUUACCAAUGUAUGAAGGUUUUCCACAUUUUCAGUGACAUUUUUAGUUUCACAUGUACAGCAAUGUGAUUCAGUUUUAUAUACAUAUAUGUAUAUUUAUAUACAUAUGUAUUCUUUUCAGAUUCUUUUCCCUUAGACGUUAUUACAAAAUAAUGAGUAUAGUUCCCUGUGAUGUACCCAAAUCCUGUUGGUUAUCUAUUUUAUAUGUCGCAGUGUGUAUAUGUUAAUCCAAAACUCCUAAUUUGUACCUCCCUCCCCCUUUCCCCUUUGUAACCAUAAGUAUGUUUUCUAUGUUUGUGGCUCUAUUUCUGUUUUGUAUAUAAGGUCAUUUGUGUGUGUGUCUCUCUCUCUUUUUUUAGAUUCUACAUAUAAGUGAUAUCAUGUGAUAUUUGUUUUUGUCUGGCUUACUUCACUUAGUAUGAUAAUCUCUGGGUCCAUCAUGUUGUCGCAAAUGGCAUUAUUUCAUUCUUUUUUUAUGGCUGAGUAAUUCCGUAAUGUAUAUAUGCCAUGUUUUCUUGAUCCAUUUAUCUGUUGGUGAACAUUUAGUUGCUCCAUGUCCUGGCUAUUAUCAAUGGUGCUGCCAUGAACACUGGGGUGCUUGUAUCUUUUCAAAUUAUGGUUUUCUGUGCCAGAAUGAUCCUGGCACAGAAGCAGAAAUAUAGGUCAACAGAACAGGAUAGAAAGCCCAGAAAUAAACCCAUGUACCUAUGGCCGAUUAAUCUACGAGAAAGAAGGCAAGAGUAUACAAUGGAGAAAAGACAGUCUUUUCACUAAAUGGUGCUGGGAAAAAUGGACAGCUACAUGUAAAAGAAUGAAAUUAGAACAUUUUCUAACACCAUACAUAAAAAUAAACUUGAAAUGGAUUGAAGACCUAAAUGUAAAACAGGAUACUAUAAAACUCCAUGAGGAAAACAUAGGCAGAACACUGACAUAAAUCACUGCAAUAUUUUUUUGGAUCUGUCUCAGAGAGUACUGGAAAUAAAAAUAAACAGAUGGAACCCUUUUCUUAAUGGUGUCCUUCAAAGUGCAGCUUUUUAAUAUUAAUAAAGCCCAAUAUAUUGGUUUAUUUUCAUUAUGGAUGGUGCUUUUUGCACUAUAUCUGAAAGUCUUUGCCUUAUUCAGUGUAAUAAACAUUUUGUCUUAUACUUUCUUCUAGUUUUAUAGGCUUAGUUCAUACAUUUAUGUUUAUGAUUCAUUUUUAGUUAAUUUUUAUAUGUUUGUGAGGUCAGGGUCUACAUUUAAUAUAUUUCUUUGUAUGUGCAUACCCAAUGAUCUCAGCACCAUUUUUUGAGAAAACCAGCCUUUCCACAUUAGAUUGUGUUGGCAUCUUUGUUAAAAUGUAAGAGUUUAUUUCUGGAACCUUUUUUUGCAUUGAUCUAUAUGUCUAUCCUUAUGUUAGUACCACAGUCUUGAUUACUAUGGCUGUAGAGUAUGUUGUGAAAUUAGCUAGGGUAAAUCAUCUAAAUUUGUUCAUUUUCAAAAUUGUUUUGGCUAUUCUAUAUCCUUUACUUUUCCAUAAAGAUUUUGGGAUCAACUUCUAAAUUUCUGUAAAAAAAAUCCUACUGGGAUUUUGAUGAGGAUUGAAUUGAAGUUAUACACUGAUUUGGCAAUAUUGAGUCUUCUAUAUGAACGUGAGAAAUCUUUCCAUUUAUUUAGAUUUUCUUUACUUUCUUUUAGCAAUUAUAGUUUUUUUGGGUGGGGAGGGAGGCUUUAUUGUAAUUUUCAGUGUGUAAGUUUUAUAGUUCUUUUGUUAAAGUAAUUCUUAAAUUUUUUUUAUGUCAUUGUGAAUAGAACUGUUUUCAUUUCAUCUUUAGACUGCUGAUUGCCUAUAGAAAUAAAAUUAAUUUUUAUGUGUUGAGUUUGAACCCUGUGACUU
rnacentral:lncRNA from 1 species